rnacentral:rRNA from 1 species
GACGAACGCUGGCGGCGUGCCUAAUACAUGCAAGUUGAGCGCUGAAGGUUGGUACUUGUACCAACUGGAUGAGCAGCGAACGGGUGAGUAACGCGUGGGGAAUCUGCCUUUGAGCGGGGGACAACAUUUGGAAACGAAUGCUAAUACCGCAUAAAAACUUUAAACACAAGUUUUAAGUUUGAAAGAUGCAAUUGCAUCACUCAAAGAUGAUCCCGCGUUGUAUUAGCUAGUUGGUGAGGUAAAGGCUCACCAAGGCGAUGAUACAUAGCCGACCUGAGAGGGGGAGCGGCCACAUUGGGACUGAGACACGGCCCAAACUCCUACGGGAGGCAGCCGUAGGGGAUCUUCGGCAAUGGACGAAAGUCUGACCGAGCAACGCCGCGUGAGUGAAGAAGGUUGUCGGAUCGUAAAACUCUGUUGGUAGAGAAGGACGUUGGUGAGAGUGGAAAGCUCAUCAAGUGACGGUAACUACCCAGAAAGGGACGGCUAACUACGUG